CUGCGAGUCUUUCCCAUAGUUAAGUGAGCCUGUGUGUCUCACCUGCCCCGACCUGGAACCAUUGCCCCGGCUGCCCCGCUGGUGCUUCGGGGAUGAUGACGUUGGGGCCUGAGGCAGAGAAUGCAAAAUUGAGACAGAACACUACUCACUGGAGAAGCCAUGGUGUUGGAGUUUGCAUCCGUGAGGUAGUGAUGUCGCCAAGUCUGUGGUGAAUACUCAGAGUCACUGUGAGCCCCACUGCCGCCUCCUGCUUCUGUCCCACCAGCUCCCCGGCGUGGCAACCUGCGGCGGCGGCGGGCUCGGGACAGAGGUGUGGAGCCCUGGGAAUGGUCUGAGGAGUCCUGUGGCAAGGAAGAUGAUGGGAAGAUUAGUAAACAAUACUAUUGUCUUCUCCCUAAAUAGCAAAGGUAGGCAACUCUCAUGAACCACAACUUUGUGAGUUAUGAAAUAAGAAGAAACAUAAUGUGAAGUUCAUUACAUAUUUCAAUGAUUAACCUGUGUAAGGACAUACCUUGCAGCACAGAGGAUGUGGUUGUUUGUUAUGCAAAUGUACAGAAAUAGUAUUCUGACUAUCAAUGCCUUUGUUUCACUCCAUCAUGGAUUACACUGGAUUUUAAGGAAGCUGACACAGGCAGGCAAGAUGACAUGGCAGAAUGUCAAUUAUUUCAUGAAUAUCAUUUUCCCAUUAAAAAUCCAUACAGAGCCUACAGAACAAAACUCAUUGUUCCCAGGGUCCCAAGUGAUGUAAGGAAUUGAUCAGAGAAUAGCCUGUCACUAUUACAUUCAUGUUUUGCCCUAGGUAAGAUUCUAAUUCACUCUUUAUGCAUUUCAUCUCUCAGCUGUAUAUAACAUCUUUUGAGAUUCUGAAAUUCUGCAGUGGAAUGUUAAUGAUCCAAAAUGGUGUAAACAUAAGGGAAGGUGAAGGAAUGCUCAAAUCAAUAUCUACUCAAGCUUCUAAAGUCUCAAUAAUUGCAUUUAUGUUUAUUUCUUUAUCAAUGUGUCUUACCUCUCCCAUCAGCUCUCUGGUUGUGUUGGUGGUAGUGAUGGUGGUGGUGGCAGUGGCUGGGAUGGUGGUGAUGGUGGUGGAGGCAGCAGCAGCAGGGGUGGAUGUCGGGGAGGUGGUAGUAGUGGAGUGGGAGGUCAACAUAGGGGAGGCCUCAG